rnacentral:snoRNA from 1 species
AUCCCAUGCUGUGGGCACUUUCGCAGUAUAUUUUUGAACCUAUUCCAAGCUUCAUCGAAUUCUCCUAGUCGCGUUGGCGGAAGACAAAAAUGUCGUGUUUGAGCUU